rnacentral:rRNA from 1 species
UACGAAGGGGGCUAGCGUUGCUCGGAAUCACUGGGCGUAAAGCGCACGUAGGCGGCUUUCUAAGUCAGGGGUGAAAUCCUGGAGCUCAACUCCAGAACUGCCUUUGAUACUGGAGAGCUUGAGUCCGGAAGAGGUGAGUGGAACUCCGAGUGUAGAGGUGAAAUUCGUAGAUAUUCGGAAGAACACCAGUGGCGAAGGCGGCUCACUGGUCCGGUACUGGACGCUGAUGUGCGAAAGCGUGGGGAGCAAACAGGAU